rnacentral:rRNA from 1 species
CCUACGGGAGGCAGCAGUGGGGAAUAUUGGGCAAUGGGCGCAAGCCUGACCCAGCAACGCCGCGUGAAGGAAGAAGGCCUUCGGGUUGUAAACUUCUUUUGUCAGGGACGAAGCAAGUGACGGUACCUGACGAAUAAGCUACGGGUAACUACGGGCCAGCCGCCGCGGUAAUACGUAGGUGGCAAGCGUUAUCCGGAUUUACUGGGUGUAAAGGGCGUGGAGGCGGGACUGCAAGUCAGAUGUGAAAACCACGGGCUCAACCUGUGGCCUGCAUUUGAAACUGUAGUUCUUGAGUACUGGAGAGGCAGACGGAAUGCCUGGUGUAGCGGGGAAAUGCGUAGAUAUUAGGAGGAACACCAGUGGCGAAGGCAGUCUGCUGGACAGCAACUGACGCUGAGGCGCGAAAGCGUGGGGAGCAAACAGGAUUAGAUACCCGAGUAGUC